GACGAACGCUGGCGGCGUGCCUAACACAUGCAAGUCGAGCGGAGAUAUAUAGAAGGUUUACCGGAAAUAUAUCUUAGCGGCGGACGGGUGAGUAACGCGUGGGCAACCUGCCUCAUACAGGGGGAUAACACAGGGAAACUUGUGCUAAUACCGCAUGAUAUCAUUGUAUGGCAUCAUACGAUGAUCAAAGGAGCAAUCCGGUAUGAGAUGGGCCCGCGUCCGAUUAGCUAGUUGGUGAGGUAAAGGCUCACCAAGGCGACGAUCGGUAGCCGAACUGAGAGGUUGAUCGGCCACAUUGGGACUGAGAUACGGCCCAGACUCCUACGGGAGGCAGCAGUUGGGAAUCUUAGGCAAUGGACGAAAGUCUGACCUAGCGACGCCGCGUGAGGGAAGAAGGCCUUCGGUUGUAACCUCUGUCAUGGGGAAGAAGGAAGUGACGGUACCCAACGAGGAAGCCCCUGCUAACUACGUGCCAGCAGCCGCGGUAAAGAGUAGUA
rnacentral:rRNA from 1 species